rnacentral:misc_RNA from 1 species
GAUGAAGAACGUAGCUAAAUGCGAUACGUAAUGUGAAUUGCAGAAUUCAGUGAAUCAUCGAAUCUUUGAACGCAUAUUGCGCUCUCUGGUAUUCCGGAGAGCAUGCUUGUUUGAGUAUCAGUAAACACCUCAACUUCCAUAUCUUUUUUGAAAUGGGAGUUGGACUUGAGUGAUCCCAACGCUUUUCCUCACCGAAAAGUGGCGGGUUACUUGAAAUGCAGGUGCAGCUGGACUUUUCUCUGAGCUAUAAGCAUAUCUAUUUAGUCUGCCUAAAAAACAGAUUAUUACCUUUGCUGCAGCUAACAUAAAGGAGAUUAGUUCUUGUGCUGACUGAUGCAGGAUUCACAAAGACAGGCUUCGGCCGACUUUGUAAACUCGAUCUCAAAUCAAGUAAGACUACCCGCUGAACUUAAGCAUAUCAAUAAGCGGAGGA